rnacentral:rRNA from 1 species
AGGACGAACGCUGGCGGCGUGCUUAACACAUGCAAGUCGAGCGGAAAGGCCCUUCGGGGUACUCGAGCGGCGAACGGGUGAGUAACACGUGAGCAACCUGCCCUGGACUUUGGGAUAACCCUCGGAAACGGGGGCUAAUACCGGAUAUUACUUCUGCCCGCAUGGGUGGUGGUGGAAAGUUUUUCGGUCUGGGAUGGGCUCGCGGACUAUCAGCUUGUUGGUGGGGUGAUGGCCUACCAAGGCGACGACGGUUAGCCGGCCUGAGAGGGCGACCGGCCACACUGGGACUGAGACACGGCCCAGACUCCUACGGGAGGCAGCAGUGGGGAAUAUUGCACAAUGGGCGGAAGCCUGAUGCAGCGACGCCGCGUGAGGGAUGACGGCCUUCGGGUUGUAAACCUCUUUCAGCAGGGACGAAGCGAGAGUGACGGUACCUGCAGAAGAAGCGCCGGCCAACUACGUGCCAGCAGCCGC